rnacentral:rRNA from 1 species
UACGUAGGGGGCAAGCGUUGUCCGGAAUCAUUGGGCGUAAAGAGCGCGUAGGCGGCCCUGUAAGUCCGCUGUGAAAGUCAAGGGCUCAACCCUUGAAUGCCGGUGGAUACUGCAGGGCUAGAGUCCGGAAGAGGCGAGUGGAAUUCCUGGUGUAGCGGUGAAAUGCGCAGAUAUCAGGAGGAACACCGAUGGCGAAGGCAGCUCGCUGGGACGGUACUGACGCUGAGGCACGAAAGCUAGGGGAGCGAACGGG